rnacentral:lncRNA from 1 species
AGGAGGAAGGAUGCAGAGUAAAAGGAAAUGUAAAAGUGUUGUACACCAGCUCUCAGUAACCUUAGAAGAUUUAUAUGAUGCUGCAACAAGAAAACAGGCUCUGCAAAAUAAUGUGCUUUGUGACAGGUGUGAAGACAGAGGUGGGGAAAAAAAAAAGGAACAGUACAGUGCUGUCAUAAUUGCCAAGGUAUUGGAAUGCAAAUAAGAAUUCAUCAGAUAGAACCCGGAAUAGCUCAGCAAAUUCAAGCUGUGUGCAUGGAGACCCAGGGCCAUGGGGAACAGAUCAGUCCUCAAGAUAGAUGUAAAAGCUGCAACAGAAAGAAGAUAGUUUUGGGAGAAGACGAUUCUAGAAAUUCAUAUUGACAAAAGCAUGAAAGAUGGCCAGAAAAUAACAUCUCAUGAUGAAAGAGACCAAAAACCAGGACUGGAGCCAGGAGAUAUUAUCAUUGCAUUAGAUCAGAAGGACCAUGCUGUUUUUACUUGACAAAGAAAAGACCUUUUCAUAUGUAUGGAUAUACAGCUGGUUGUAGUAUUGCAUGGCUUCUGAAAACCAAUAUCCACUCUUGACAACUGAACCAUAGUCAUCAUCUCUCAUCCAGGUCAAACUGUCAAGCAUGGAGCCAUCAAGCAUGUGUUAAAUGAAGGCAGGCCAAUUUAUUGUAGACCACAUGAAGAGUCACUUAAUCAUUGAAUUUAAGGUAAACUUUCUUGAUAAUGGCUUUCCCUUUUUUGACAAACUCCUUGCUGGAAAAACUCCUACAAAAGAGUAAAGAAGUAGAAGAGACUGAUGAGAUGAAUCAAGUAGAAUUUGUGGACUUUGAUUCAAAUCAGGAAAGAUGAUGCUGAUGCCACUACAGUGCAGAAGCAAAUGUGGGACCAUUACAAUGGAAAAGCAUGAGGAUGAUAAACAUCAUUUCAGAGGUGUUCAGUGUCAAACAUCUUA